AGGGUUUGAUCAUGGCUCAGAUUGAACGCUGGCGGUAGGCUUAACACAUGCAAGUCGUGCGAGAAAGUAUCUUCGGAUAUGAGUAGAGCGGCGGACGGGUGAGUAACGCGUAGGAAUCUACCUAGUAGAAGGGGAUAGCCCGGGGAAACUCGGAUUAAUACCGUAUACCUCCUUCGGGAGAAAGAAGGCCUCUCUUUGAAGCUUUCGCUAUUAGAUGAGCCUGCGUAAGAUUAGCUUGUUGGUGAGGUAAAGGCUCACCAAGGCGACGAUCUUUAGCGGGUCUGAGAGGACGAUCCGCCACAUUGGGACUGAGACACGGCCCAGACUCCUACGGGAGGCAGCAGUGGGGAAUAUUGGACAAUGGGCGCAAGCCUGAUCCAGCCAUACCGCGUGUGUGAAGAAGGCCCUAGGGUUGUAAAGCACUUUAAGUUGGGAAGAAAAGUUAUUGGUUAAUACCCAAUAACCGUGACAUUACCAUCAGAAUAAGGACCGGCUAAUUCCGUGCCAGCAGCCGCGGUAAUACGGAAGGUCCAAGCGUUAAUCGGAAUUACUGGGCGUAAAGCGCGCGUAGGUGGUUUAUUAAGUUGGAUGUGAAAUCCCCGGGCUCAACCUGGGAACUGCAUCCAAAACUGAUUCACUAGAGUACGAUAGAGGGAGGUAGAAUUCACAGUGUAGCGGUGGAAUGCGUAGAUAUUGUGAAGAAUACCAAUGGCGAAGGCAGCCUCCUGGAUCUGUACUGACACUGAGGUGCGAAAGCGUGGGUAGCGAACAGGAUUAGAUACCCUGGUAGUCCACGCCGUAAACGAUGUCAACUAGCUGUUGGAAAACUAUGUUUUUCAGUGGCGCAGCUAACGUAGUAAGUUGACCGCCUGGGGAGUACGGCCGCAAGGCUAAAACUCAAAUGAAUUGACGGGGACCCGCACAAGCGGUGGAGCAUGUGGUUUAAUUCGAUGCAACGCGAAAAACCUUACCUAUACUUGACAUACUUGGAAUGCUUUGUAAUGAAGCAGUGCCUUCGGGAGCCAAGAUACAGGUGCUGCAUGGCUGUCGUCAGCUCGUGUCGUGAGAUGUUCCGUUAAGUCGGAUAACGAGCGCAACCCUUACCCUUAUUUGCCAGCGAUUCGGUCGGGAACUAUAAGGGGACUGCCGGUGAUAAACCGGAGGAAGGUGAGGACGACGUCAAGUCAUCAUGGCCCUUACGUAUAGGGCUACACACGUGCUACAAUGGAGAAUACAGACGGACGCUAAGCCGCGAGGUGGUGCUAAUCCUAGAAAAUUCUUCGUAGUCCGGAUUGGAGUCUGCAACUCGACUCCAUGAAGUCGGAAUCGCUAGUAAUCGCGAAUCAGCAUGUCGCGGUGAAUACGUUCUCGGGUCUUGUACACACCGCCCGUCAUACCAUGGAAGUGGAUUGCACCAGAAGUAGAUAGUCUAACCUUCGGGAGGGCGUUUACCACGGUGUGCUUCAUGACUGGGGUAAAGUCGUAACAAGGUAGCCGUA
rnacentral:rRNA from 1 species